rnacentral:ncRNA from 2 species
UCGUAGGUGAACCUGCGGAAGGAU